rnacentral:rRNA from 1 species
AUACGGAGGAUGCGAGCGUUAUCCGGAUUUAUUGGGUUUAAAGGGAGCGCAGACGGGUCGUUAAGUCAGCUGUGAAAGUUUGGGGCUCAACCUUAAAAUUGCAGUUGAUACUGGCGUCCUUGAGUGCGGUUGAGGUGUGCGGAAUUCGUGGUGUAGCGGUGAAAUGCUUAGAUAUCACGAAGAACUCCGAUUGCGAAGGCAGCACACUAAGCCGUAACUGACGUUCAUGCUCGAAAGUGUGGGUAUCAAACAGGAUUAGAUACCCUGGUAGUCCACACGGUAAACGAUGGAUACUCGCUGUUGGCGAUAUACGGUCAGCGGCUUAGCGAAAGCGUUAAGUAUCCCACCUGGGGAGUACGCCGGCAACGGUGAAACUCAAAGGAAUUGACGGGGGCCCGCACAAGCGGAGGAACAUGUGGUUUAAUUCGAUGAUACGCGAGGAACCUUACCCGGGCUUAAAUUGCAAAGGAAUAAUCUGGAAACAGGUUAGUCUUCGGACCUUUGUGAAGGUGCUGCAUGGUUGUCGUCAGCUCGUGCCGUGAGGUGUCGGCUUAAGUGCCAUAACGAGCGCAACCCUCGCCGCCAGUUACUAACAGUUAAAGCUGAGGACUCUGGCGGGACUGCCAUCGUAAGAUGUGAGGAAGGUGGGGAUGACGUCAAAUCAGCACGGCCCUUACGUCCGGGGCUACACACGUGUUACAAUGGGCGGUACAGAAGGCAGCUACCUGGCGACAGGAUGCCAAUCCCUAAAGCCGCUCUCAGUUCGGACUGGAGUCUGCAACCCGACUCCACGAAGCUGGAUUCGCUAGUAAUCGCGCAUCAGCCACGGCGCGGUGAAUACGUUCCCGGGCCUUGUACACACCGCCCGUCAAGCCAUGAAAGCCGGGGGUACCUGAAGUGCGUAACCGCAAGGAGCGCCCUAAGGUAAAACUGGUGAUUGGGGUG